UUGCCAACGGCUGCUGGUCUCACUGGACAACAACGCUUCUACUUUGUCAUUGGCCAGUCCCCUUCUCUUCCAUUAUUUCCGACUGCGAUGCCUAUCGCAUCCUCCGUCGUUGGGCAGCGAUAGGCAUGGGCGGUAACCUUUCCACUUCUCUCCUCCUUUCAUGCGGCCGCUGACUCUCUGCCCGAGAUUCAAUGGUCAAUCCUUGUCUCGUUUGCUUCUGACAUCUGCGGUACUACCCUCCGCUUCAGCUGGCAAUGUUUCAUCGACAUAUUAUCAUCUUCACUGCAUUUUCUUUUAAACUUCAUGCUCCUCUUUAUUCUGCUAGAUGACGUCAGAACGGACAGUCCUCUAUGCCCGAGCAGACACGGGGGUUCGUUCACGGUUAUCUCCAUUCUUGGCAGGUGACUGAGUCGUUUUGACAAAGCAUGUCUCUCUGCCUUGGGUAUGACCGGGGUGUAUAUAGUCUCCACCUCAACCCCUAACUCAAUUCUGGAGUUUGUGAUCUCACUCUUUAACACAUCUAGCCGUCGGCAAAUACCAAAUCACUUCAAAUUCAGCUAUACGUCUAAUUCUUCUGUUUUGGGUGGGUAGCACAAACUUUUUUUUCUUUGUUUGCCAUGACUGGAGUGUGAUAAGUUAGUAUUUUAUCUCGGACAGCAAAUCCAGGUCGAUUAUAUUUAUAUUGAGUUACCGCCAACAUUAUUUCAACUUGCAAUCGGGAUUUUCCAAAUCAUUCUACACACUCUCGAUAGGGCACGAUCAACUUUCUCCGAAUCUUUCAAGCCAGAACACCUCAUUUUCUCCCUUCUCCUUCAUUCUGAAAUUUUCACAUAAAUCUCCUGAAUUCCCAAGCAAAUCCAUCUACUCGAUAUCAGUCUCGCUUUCAUUCUUCGUGUAAGCUUCGACUUACCCUCGGAGGACUAUCGAUAUCUGUCUUGUCCACUCCAGCGACCUGAAGAGGAUUGCGAGUAACAAAAUCAAACGCAAAGAAGAAGAGAACAAUAGAUUCCAUCAUAUCCCCCAAAUCUGUGAUAUAUCCCAAUACCAACCUCCUGUCGGCCCGUGUUUUCUUCCAUUUUGGCAUUAUCCAGCCACGAAACGGUACUAUUGAGCGUGGUAUCGUUCCUCACAGCCAUGUGCAAGCACCUCGUUAUCUAUAAAUGCGGAGCCAUAGAAACGGUUUUCUCCCAGGAGUGUACCUGCACCAGGAAGACAGGAGAAAACUACAGCCCCUUGUACUGCGGAAUCUGCGGGGAUUGCCAAAGUGGCGAUGGUAAAAAGUGAAGGAUGUCGAACAUGUCGAUAUGCGGUCUGCUGGGAAGACGGGAUAUGCCCCUGGAUGGCUGUAGUGUUAAUUCCCUAUGGGCUGCUCUCGAUGGACACAGACGCCUGACCUUAAAUUGGACUUUGGGGUGUUUUUUUCUCUAACCUUUUUUUUUUUUUUCCAAGACCUUUGUUUUGUGCUGCCUACGACCUGCCCUUACUAUGCUGUUUAUGUUAUUUUCCGUUUCCCUUGAUUUUGAUAACCUGACUUGGCAUUCUUGAUACCCUAACGAUAUUACGAUGUUAAGAUGUUAUGAAUAUGAGAAGUACGUUCGUAUUGUUUUUUCCUCUAUUCAGCCGUUCCUCAAUACAUGAACAGAAGGAUUUUUAUGUGGUCCCAAGCCUGCUAUGUUGGCUGGUAAACGCUGAAGAUUGAUAUGACUAUUCUUACUUCCAUUCUAUAUGUAUGGGUUUCUUUCAUUUGUGUUGUGAUUUUAUAGCUUCCUUACAACCAUCUUUGUGUACUGCGAGAAUAGGUGGUUAUAAAGAAGUUCAAUUUUUUUUCACACUACUGUUCUGUUUACACAGCGUUUACGCCGUAUUAGACACUAAAUAUCUAAGAUAAUUCCAAUUCCUAAACGAUAGUACCCAACUUUUGGGACGAUAUUGCCUCGCAGCAGCCAGU
rnacentral:sRNA from 2 species